UCGAUUCUGCAGUGAAUAUACUAGAAUUGGAAGGAUACAGACAAGAUUAGCACGGCCUCUGCACAAGGAUGACACAAGAAUUCGUAAAGCACUCCAUAUUUUA
ensembl:snRNA LOC120100172 U6 spliceosomal RNA